rnacentral:rRNA from 1 species
UACGAAGGGGGCUAGCGUUGUUCGGAAUCACUGGGCGUAAAGCGCACGUAGGCGGAUCUUUAAGUCAGGGGUGAAAUCCCGAGGCUCAACCUCGAGCUGUCGGUGGAAACCGUAAGGCUAGAGUCCGGAAGAGGAGAGUGGAAUUCCUGGUGUAGCGGUGAAAUGCGCAGAUAUCAGGAAGAACACCCGUGGCGAAGGCGGCUCUCUGGGACGGUACUGACGCUGAGACGCGAAAGCGUGGGGAGCGAACAGG